AUUGAACGCUGGCGGCAGGCCUAACACAUGCAAGUCGAACGAGUGGCGGACGGGUGAGUAAUGGCUGGGAAACUGCCUGAUGGAGGGGGAUAACUACUGAAAACGGUAGCUAAUAUCGCAUACCAUCAGAUGUGCCCAGAUUGGAUUAGCUUGUUGGUGGGGUAACGGCUCACCAAGGCGACGAUCCCCAACUGGUCUGAGAGGAUGACCCGCCACACGGGAACUGAGAAACGGGCCAGACUCCUACGGGAGGCAGCAGUGGGGAAUAUUGCACAAGGGGCGCAAGCCUGAUGCAGCCAUGCCGCGUGUAUGAAGAAGGCCUUCGGGUUGUAAAGUACUUUUAGCGGAGAGGCGGUACCCGAAGAGGAAGCACCGGAUAACGCCGUGCCAGCAGCCGCGGUAAUUC
rnacentral:rRNA from 1 species